UCCUCAUGUUGUGCUCCUUGUCAAGUCAACACCUUCUGUGUGGUUUCUAGAUUUAGCCUGUAAUCAGGUCAUUUCACCAUCUUUCUUCCUCCUAGACCCUUAUGUUGUUGUUAUCAGCUUUUCUUGAUUUGCCAUGUGGAUCUCAAUGGAUUUUUUAUGGAAACUCCAGCAACAGGAUAGUCUCUUUCAUUCCCAUAGACGACGCUAAUUGAUGAGGUGAGAUCCAGUGGGAUCACCAGAUGCGGAUACCUGGACUGUGAUUUGAUUUACUGGGCAGAUCAAUGAACUGCAAUUCGUUCAAUAAGGAGUGGAUGCCCUUGAGAUUUCAUAUGGAUUCUUCCAUGCUCGAUCUUAAGGAUGAAGCCUGCAAAACAUGAGAAAAAGGGAUCAGAGGUCUACCAGGGAUGACUCGGUAAAGACCAUCCGACGCUCAAGUCAGAUCUAGACUUUUUUAAUGGAGUAAAGAGAAAAUAAGAAUAGAGUAUUGAGGAGAAGGAGAAAGUUCCUG
rnacentral:lncRNA from 1 species